GGACUACACGGGUUUCUAAUCCUGUUCGCUCCCCACGCUUUCGUGCCUUAGCGUCAGAUACAUGCCAGCAAGCUGCCUUCGCCAUUGGUGUUCCUACUGAUAUCUACGCAUUUCACUGCUACACCAGUAAUUCCACUUGCCUCUCAUGUCCUCUAGUAAUUCCGUAUGCAAUAACGUUGUAUGGUUGAGCCACACAAUUUAGCAUUACACGUGAAUUACCACCUACGCACGCUUUACGCCCAGUGAUUCCGGAUAACGCUUGGACCCUACGUAUUACCGCGGCUGCUGGCAC
rnacentral:rRNA from 1 species